rnacentral:snRNA from 1 species
AGGCAUGCAUCUCUUUUAUCCUUCACUCCCAAAGGUGCACACUUGAUCAAAUAGGAUGACCUUCCCUAAAUAGAAGAGGACCAUCUUCAUUCAAGAGGAUAUGAAUAGCUGUAGCCUCCCCACUAGAACCUCUAAACAAGCUCUCAAGUUCAUUAAUAGAACUAUUAAAUUAUCCACUGAAGUCUUGUUUUGGU